rnacentral:rRNA from 1 species
AUUGGGCAUCUUGGAGUCUGGAUCGGAGGGGGAAUUGUUGAUCUGGAAUGGAGGGACAAGGCAUAUGAAGGGCAUGUCAGGGAAUGGUCGAGCAUGUGGGUCAGGGCUGGAGCACUCUGGUGGCAAGGAAGGGGGUAUCUGGGUGUGAAUCGAGGUAAUGGUGUAUGUUUGUCUGGAGAGAAGGAUGUUGGUUUAUUGGAGUGGUGGGAGCAUGUGUGUGUCAAAGGGAUGGGGUAAUCGGGUGCGGGUAUAGAGAGAGGGCGAAUGGCACCAUCUGAGUGGGAAUCUGGAGGUAGAGGUGAAGCAUAUGGGUGUGGCUCUGAGGGGUGGAGCAUCUUGGUGUAGGUAUGGAGGGACGGAUGUUGGUGUCUUUGUGUCGGUUCAGAUGGGAGGAUGGUGGCAUGUGGGUCAGGAGAGUGGUGGCAUUUGAAUCUGGAAUCUGUGUUUGGAAGGAGAAAUGGGGCAUCGAGUGUGAAUGGUAUUUGCUUGUGACUGGGGGCAUGAAGCAUCAUUAACAGCGGAGCAGCAGGAGGGAGAGCCGUGGGCCUGACCUCGGUUGCAUCCCAGACGUGCACACCCACAGCCCUCCACCUCUCGCAGAGCGGUCCGAUGCGCAUGGUAAACCAUGCACCAGGGAGCAGGGAUUUCCUUCCACCGGAGAGGGGUCCGCAACCCAGCAGGUGGCCAGGGAUGCCUGGCAGGGUUGGGUUAACCUGCUGGGGAUGUCCCCAACCACGCACCGGAAAGGGAGCCCUUUGCAGCCCCCUCUCCUCACUGAGCCUGCCUCUGCGCUGGCCGGGGGCGUGCACUCCUCUCUCUGACCUGCCAGCGGGUGGGCAUUGGUGGGCACAUCCCGGUCAGCAGGGAAGCCCCGAGUGAGGGCAGCUGUGAGCCGAGGGAAACCUGACUGCUCUCGAGGGGCGCCUCCCCAAGCAGACAGGGGCCCGGCACGCCAGGCAUGAGCCAUGGUGCAGCUGGUUUGCUCGACGGUGGGCGCCAAGGUUCCAGCCGCCCACAUCUGUGCGCCGCUGGCACAGUGGGUGACCUUCCCUCUUGCCCAGGUACCUGGAGCUGGGCCCUAUGCGGACGGGCUGGGGUUUGAAGACUAGCGGUCCCACGCGACCCCCUGUCUGUGCUGUCUCUGGCCCGCCUCGCUGUCCGUCUCCCAGCCCCCGUGCCCAAAAGGGAGCGGAAGUGGUCAGGGAUGGAUGAGUGGAUCGUGCCGGGUGGGCAGGUGGCAGAGCUGCCUACCUCCAUCCUCCUGGGAAGCGCUGUGCUGCUGCAGGUGGCGGUCAGGCUGAGCACCUGAAUUUUUUUUUUCAUUUUUUUUAACCACAAUGGUUUCGGCCGAGCUAGACUGGGCGCUGGGCUGUCCCCCACAGGCGGCGCUGCCUCUCCUGCACCGGCAGGGUCAGGCCGACAUCAGGAAAAAAAAAAAAAGUUGCCUAUGACUCUUGGCGGUGGAUCACUUGACUCGUGCAUCGAAGAAGAACGCAGCUAGCUGCGAGAAUUAGUGUGAAUUGUAGGACACAUUGAUCAACACUUCGAACACACCAUGUGGGUUUUUCCUGGGGGGUCGCUUGUACAUCACUUGCCCCGGGGUUCCCUCCCAGGGCCGUGGCUGGGGAUGUUGCAGGGACCCCAUUCCAUUCAUCCCCCUAAAAUCAGACCCCGAUCAGCACUGUCGCUGGAUCCUUGGAUCUGGCGCGCACGCUCAUUGCCGACGCAUCCUGGCCAACCCAGUUUCCCCACCUAAUGCUAGUUUCGGGAGGCCGGCGUACCAUGGCUGGAUGAGGCGUCUUACCCCUCAGGGGGGCAACGCUGCCUUUGGAUGCGAGCCGGGCCCUUCCUGUGGAUCAUCCCAGCUGCAGUGUUCGCUUCUCCCGUUCCCCCUCCUGGGGUUCAGGCCCGGCAUUCUGCCUCGGCCGACACCUAGCAGCUGACUUGGAACUGGUGCGACCAGGGGAAUCUGACUGUUUAAUUAAAACAAAGCAUUGCAGAGGCCCGUGGAGGGUGUUGACGCAAUGCGAUUUCUGCCAAGUGCUCUGAAUGUCAAGUGAAAAAAUUCAAUGAAGCGUGGGUAAACGGCUGAGGUAACUAUGACUCUUAAGGUAGCCAAAUGCCUCGUCAUCUAAUUAGUGAUGUGCAUGAAUGAAUGAAUUGAGAUUCCCACUGUCCCUACCUACUAUCUAGCGAAACCACAGCCAAGGGAACAAGCUUGGCAGAAUCAUCAGGGAAAGGAGACCCGGUUGAGUUUGACUCUAGUCUGGCACUGUGAAGAGACAUGAGAGGUCGGAUAAGUGGGAGGCCCUUGGGCCGCUGGUGAAAUACCACUACUCUUAUCGUUUUUGCACUUACCCGGUGAGGUGGUGGGCAAGCCCCACGGGGCUCUCGCUUCUGGCUCCAAGCACCCGGCACCUGCCAGCCACGACCCGCUCCGGGGACAGUGGCAGGUGGGGAGUUUGAUUGGGGUGGUACACCUGUCAAAGGAUAACACAGGUGUCCUAAGGCGAACUCUGGGUGGACAGAAACCUCCCGCGGAGCAGAAGGGCAAAAGCUAGCUUGAUCUCGAUUUGUUUUUUUGUUUUUUAAUUUUUUUUUCAGUAUGAAUACAGACCGUGAAAGCAGGGCUUCACGGUCCUGCUGACUUUUUGGGUUUCAAGCAGGAGAGGUCAGAAAAGAUAUCACAGGGAUAACUGGCUUGUGGCGGCCAAGCCUUCAUAUCGACGUCGCUUUUUGAUCCUUCGAUGUCGACUCUUCCUACCAUUGUGAAACAGAAUUCACCAAUCGUCGAUUGUUCACCCACUAAUAGGGAACGUGAGGUGGAUUUAGACCGUCGUGAGACAGGUUAGUUUUACCCUACUGUUGAUGGGUUGUUGCAAUAAUAAUCCUGCUCAGUACUAGAGGAACCGCAGGUUCAGACAUUUGGUGUGCAUGCUUGGCUGAGGAGCCAAUGGGGCAAAGAUACCAUCUGUGGGAUUAUGACUGAGCGCCUCCAAGUCAGAAAUCCACCCCCAGACCUUGAUACCGCAGCGCUGUCUAGCAUUGGUUGGCUUAGGAUAGCCGGCCUCGGGGCCGGUGUGUAAAGCCGCUUGCCUCGGGACUUGAGUGUGGACAGAAGGGGGCCACCUCUCUCACCCGUAGUGCACCACAUGU